GACGCAUCACUGGUGUUCGGGUUGUCAUGCCAAUGGCACUGCCCGGUAGCUAAAUGCGGAAGAGAUAAGUGCUGAAAGCAUCUAAGCACGAAACUUGCCCCGAGAUGAGUUCUCCCUGAGACUUAGAGUCUCCUGAAGGAACGUUGAAGACGACGACGUUGAUAGGCCGGGUGUGUAAGCGCAGCGAUGCGUUGAGCUAACCGGUACUAAUGAACCGUGAGGCUUAACCUUACAACGCCGAAG
rnacentral:rRNA from 2 species